GACGAACGCUGGCGGCGUGCUUAACACAUGCAAGUCGAACGGAAAGGCCCUGCUUUUGUGGGGUGCUCGUGUGGCGAACGGGUGAGUAACACGUGAGUAAACUGCCCUUGACUUUGGGAUAACUUCAGGAAACUGGGGCUAAUACCCGAUAGGAGCUUCUGCUGCAUGGUGGGGGUUGGAAAGUUUCGGCGGUUGGGGAUGGACUCGCGGCUUAUCAGCUUGUUGGGGGGGUAGUGGCUUACCAAGGUUUUGACGGGUAGCCGGCCUGAGAGGGUGACCGGCCACAUUGGGACUGAGGUACGGCCCAGACUCCUACGGGAGGCAGCAGUGGGGAAUAUUGCACAAUGGGCGGAAGCCUGAUGCAGCAACGCCGCGUGCGGGAUAACGGCCUUCGGGUUGUAAACCUCUUUCGCCUGUGACGAAGCGUGAGUGACGGUAAUGGGUAAAGAAGCACCGGCUAACUACGUG
rnacentral:rRNA from 1 species